AUGUGUGUGCCCUUAUCAUUCAGCAAUCUUCAUUGUUUCUUAUUGUUUCCCAUAUCCUCUCUUUUUCCUUUUUCUCACUAUUCCUCGGCUUUCGUCUUCCUCUUUUUCUUUUUUAUUCUUCUGACUCUUCAUCUUCUUCAUUCUUCCUCUUUUUCUUUUUUUCCUUCUUCUCACUCUUCAUCUUCUUCCUUAUUCCUCUGUUUUCUUUUUCUUUGA